CCGACCGUGCACUUCUUCUAUACUACAAGAAAUUUAUCUUCAUUUAAUACGUUUAAACAGUUAUUGUCUAGUAAAGAAUUACGUUAUUUCUGAUAAAGAACUAUGCCUUUUUCGCUGGCGUAAAUCCACUGCAUUAGGAUCGGGAGACUUAGGCGCACCAUUAAUGGGAGAACUAACCGAUUAUCACAGGAAGACAUUAUUAGGUAUCAGUAGUCACACUUUUGAUAAUUCGACUCGAUUCGAAAUUUUUACAUCGAUUAAAGUUUAUUAUGAUUGGAUAAUAGAAAAUAGUGAAGGAAAUUUAAGUUUUUUACUUUGAUUUCUAUAUUCGAAAAAUUAUGACAACUGACAGCAAGAAAUUCGGCUUGAAAGCGUUGGUAGGUCUACAUGAAAUUAUUGUGAUUUAAUUGAUAUUCUUUGAUUUAAUGAAAUACUUAUUUUAAUGAUUCAAUACGGUGAUCUUCAAAAUUAUAUUCUAUUUGGUCCCCUCUGGCAGAUUUUUGUAGAACUCUAAGGCAAGAACUGUGAAGUACGUGUGAAGAACAUUUCGGUACUAUUGUUAUUCUUUGAAUGAGAAGGAUUAGUUUCAAAAGUUUGGAUAAAGUUUAAAAAUUUUUAUUUUUCAAUGUUUUGAGGAAAAAAUUAUAAAAAUAUUGAAUGUUGCUUUGGAAUUCUACAACUUAUGGAAAAAUGUAUUCGAACAUAGUUUAAGAAAAUAAAAUAUUUUAAUUUAAACAAGAAUAUAAAAAUGUAAUGUUUAAAACAAAAAUAAACAUUUUUGUUCAUUGGGUU